rnacentral:lncRNA from 1 species
CAUCCUCUACGUAGGGGACCGAUGAACAUAAGUGAAUGAUCUAGUAAAAUAAAUAAAAGAAAGCAAAAAGGCAAAUCCGGUAUAGGUGACCCUCACAAAGUCAUUUAAACCAAAAGAGUUAUAAAAAUUUGCUACAAAAAGAAAAAGAAAAAGAAAAACUCACCCGUUGUUAGUUGGUUCAGAGGUAUCUGGCGCUGAACUCGGUAGGGCGGAUUACG